rnacentral:lncRNA from 1 species
UUGGCUCUUGCUUCCUUCCUUCUGGACUUCUGGACUUCUGGUGGCGCGCGGUCGAUCGGUCCCUGUCACGGCCACGGCGGCGUGCCUGCUUGCUUGCUCCCGGUGGGAGGGAGUACGUGCCUAGGUACGUAGGUAAGUCGACGGGGAUGAAUGAGUUCGAUUAAUUGGCUUCCCUGUUGCACGCAGCUGUUGGCAAGUCAGCUAGCUAGAGUGUGUUUGUUUACACACUGCGCUGCUUGCUUUUUGCUACCUCCUGUUUCAAACAUAUUCGAUAUGAUCGACUUCGCGCGCUGCAUAAAGCAAACACACGUAGUGCUAGGUCGUAGGGGUACUAUACGUGAUUUAAUAGUAGGAGUACUAGUAUAUUCCACAUACUGAUAAUUGAUUUGACAUAGCUGCAAAUAUCUAUACCGUGAAUUGCUUGAGCUUGAGAAACUAUAGCUUCACAUCUUGGAUUGGAUGGCCACCAAAUCGAACAUUUCGUCGUGGGCCAUUGGAUAUCAUCUCAACGGAACAGAUCCCCUCCCCAACUCUUGCCCCAGCCCACUAUUCGGAAAAAAAAAAACGCUUGCCCAAUCCGUCAUUGCACAUACACCUUUGCGAUGACCGUUGUCGAUCAG